CGUUGAAACGCCAGUUUCCGUAAAAUCACCGAAGUUAAGUAACGUCGAGCCUGGUCAUUACCGAGAUGGGUGACUGCUUGGGAAUACCAGGUGAUGUAAG